rnacentral:rRNA from 1 species
UGGAGAGUUUGAUCCUGGCUCAGAUUGAACGCUGGCGGCAGGCCUAACACAUGCAAGUCGAGCGGAUGACGGGAGCUUGCUCCUUGAUUCAGCGGCGGACGGGUGAGUAAUGCCUAGGAAUCUGCCUGGUAGUGGGGGACAACGUUUCGAAAGGAACGCUAAUACCGCAUACGUCCUACGGGAGAAAGCAGGGGACCUUCGGGCCUUGCGCUAUCAGAUGAGCCUAGGUCGGAUUAGCUAGUAGGUGAGGUAAUGGCUCACCUAGGCGACGAUCCGUAACUGGUCUGAGAGGAUGAUCAGUCACACUGGAACUGAGACACGGUCCAGACUCCUACGGGAGGCAGCAGUGGGGAAUAUUGGACAAUGGGCGAAAGCCUGAUCCAGCCAUGCCGCGUGUGUGAAGAAGGUCUUCGGAUUGUAAAGCACUUUAAGUUGGGAGGAAGGGCAGUAAGCUAAUACCUUGCUGUUUUGACGUUACCGACAGAAUAAGCACCGGCUAACUCUGUGCCAGCAGCCGC